CCAGGGUCUGGUGGGGGGAGGAAGAGUAGGAGGCCACCUGGGGGGACCCCAACAUCGGCCAAGGGUCCCCACAACACAGUCCCCGCUGUUCCCAGCUCCCCUUCCCGGGGGGACUGCAGCCCAAGGACCCCCCAGGAAGGACUCGGGGAGCAGACCCCUGGAAGUCUGCCCCCACCCUGGGGCUGCCCCACCCCUACCCACAUCACUGCUGCAGGGGCAGGGGGUGGCCCCAGAGACCCUGGCAGUGAGGGGGUUCUCCGGGGAGCCCCAAGGCCAGGACAGGGUGCUGCUGGGGGAAGGCUGGGUGCAAACCUCAAGGCACCUCAUGGGGAGUGCGGGCAGGGCAGGGCGGGCAGGACGCCCCAGGAACAGAAGACUCAGCAGCCCCCUCCCCCCAGCUCCAGGGCAGCUCCCCAGUCCUCUGCAUGGCGGGUGCCCCGAGAUGGAGGAGGGAGGGUGGACAGACACACAGACAGAGUGGGAAGACUCCAGCCGCCAAGGACAGACAGACACCCAGACAGAAAGGCCCAGGCCAGAGGGCGGGUGGGCAGGCAGGCAGGCAGGCAGGGAAGGAGGGAGGGAGGCCCUAAUCAGGGACAGACACACAGACUUGGAGGUGCAGACAAGUGGCUAGACAGAUGGGCGAACAGACAGACCUAGGCCACCUCGACAGACAGACAGAGGAAGGCCCAGGGACUGACAGGCAGACCCAGGGACAGACAGACGGAAUGGGAGGGUCAAAGGCCAACAGACAGACAGGACAGGGAGACCCUAGGAUAGACAGACAGAUAAGCUGGGAUGGAAAGACAGGGAGUGAACAAGGAGGCUCGGGGACAGACAGACCCAGGGAUGAACAAGCAGACAGACAGGCAGGCCAGGGACAGACAGGUACUGACCAGGGAGGCCCAGGGACAGACAGCCGGAGGGACAGACAGUCAUGCCCAGGGAGAGAUAGGCAGACAGACAGACAGGGCCAGGGGCUGACAGGCAGGCCCAGAGAGGGA